UACGGAGGGUCCAAGCGUUAUCCGGAUUUACUGGGUUUAAAGGGUGCGUAGGUGGUUGGAUAAGUCAGUGGUGAAAUCUUCCGGCUCAACCGGGAAACUGCCAUUGAAACUACCCGACUUGAGUAUAGUUGAGGCGGGUGGAAUGUAUCAUGUAGCGGUGAAAUGCUUAGAUAUGAUACAGAACACCAAUUGUGAAGACAGCUCGCUAAACUAUUACUGACACUGAGGCACGAAAGCGUGGGUAU
rnacentral:rRNA from 1 species